GAGUUUGAUCAUGGCUCAGGAUGAACGCUAGCGGCAGGCUUAACACAUGCAAGUCGAGGGGUAGCAGGGAGCUUGCUCCGCUGACGACCGGCGAACGGGUGCGUAACGCGUAUAGAAUCUACCUCUUACUAAGGGAUAGCCCAGAGAAAUUUGGAUUAAUAUCUUAUAGUAUACAGACCUGGCAUCAGGAUUGUAUUAAAGGUUACGGUAAGAGAUGACUAUGCGUCCUAUUAGCUAGAUGGUGUGGUAACGGCACACCAUGGCCACGAUAGGUAGGGGCCCUGAGAGGGGGAUCCCCCACACUGGUACUGAGACACGGACCAGACUCCUACGGGAGGCAGCAGUGAGGAAUAUUGGACAAUGGAGGCAACUCUGAUCCAGCCAUGCCGCGUGCAGGAAGACUGCCCUAUGGGUUGUAAACUGCUUUUAUACAGGAAGAAACACUCUCACGUGUGAGAGCUUGACGGUACUGUAAGAAUAAGGAUCGGCUAACUCCGUGCCAGCAGCCGCGGUAAUACGGAGGAUCCAAGCGUUAUCCGGAAUCAUUGGGUUUAAAGGGUCCGUAGGUGGAUGAUUAAGUCAGAGGUGAAAUCCUGCAGCUCAACUGUAGAAUUGCCUUUGAUACUGGUUGUCUUGAGUUAUUAUGAAGUAGUUAGAAUAUGUAGUGUAGCGGUGAAAUGCAUAGAUAUUACAUAGAAUACCAAUUGCGAAAGCAGAUUACUAAUAAUAUACUGACACUGAUGGACGAAAGCGUGGGGAGCGAACAGGAUUAGAUACCCUGGUAGUCCACGCCGUAAACGAUGGUCACUAGCUGUUCGGACUUCGGUUUGAGUGGCUAAGCGAAAGUGAUAGUGACCACCCUGGGGAGUACGUUCGCAGAUGAACUCAAAGGAAUUGACGGGGCCGCACAGCGUGGAGCAUGGUGGUUUAUCGAUGAUACGCGAGACUACAGGCUUAAUGUAGAUGACAGGUUAGAAAUAGACUUUCUUCGACAUUACAGGGGCCUGCAUGGUGUCGUCAGCUCUGCGUGGAGGGUGUCAAGAUAGGUCUAUAACGAGGCCAACCCUGGUUGGUUUAGUUGCAACGAGUCAUGGUCGAAACUCUAACGACUGCAUGCAAACUGUGAAAAGUGGGAAUACUCAAUCAUAUCGGGCGCCUUACGAGAUUCG
rnacentral:rRNA from 1 species